CGUACCCUACGGGGCGCAGCAGUGGGGAAUAUUGCGCAAUGGGCGAAAGCCUGACGCAGCGACGCCGCGUGAGGGAUGAAGGUCUUCGGAUCGUAAACCUCUGUCAGCAGGGAAGAACGGUCACUGUGCUAAUCAGCAGUGAAUUGACGGUACCUGCAAAGGAAGCACCGUCUAACUCCGUGCCAGCAGCCGCGGUAAUACGGAGGGUGCGAUCGGUAAUCGUAGUUACUGGACGUAAAGCGCUCGUAGGUGGUAUG
rnacentral:rRNA from 1 species